rnacentral:rRNA from 1 species
AUUGAACGCUGGCGGAAUGCUUUACACAUGCAAGUCGAACGGCAGCACGGACUUUGGUCUGGUGGCGAGUGGCGAACGGGUGAGUAAUGUAUCGGAACGUGCCCAGUCGUGGGGGAUAACGUAGUGAAAAUUACGCUAAUACCGCAUGCGAUCUAUGGAUGAAAGCGGGGGAUCGCAAGACCUCGCGCGAUUGGAGCGGCCGAUAUCAGAGUUAGGUAGUUGGUGGGGUAAAGGCCCACCAAGCCAACGAUCUGUAGCUGGUCUGAGAGGACGACCAGCCACACUGGAACUGAGACACGGUCCAGACUCCUACGGGAGGAAGCAGUGGGGAAUUUUGGACAAUGGGCGAAAGCCUGAUCCAGCCAUUCCGCGUGCAGGAUGAAGGCCCUCGGGUUGUAAACUGCUUUUGUACAGAACGAAAAGGUUUCUACUAAUACUAGGAGCUCAUGACGGUACUGUAAGAAUAAGCACCGGCUAACUACGUGCCAGCCGCCGCGGUAA